CACAGCCAACAGUGGAUGGAGCUUGGAGACUCUUAUGGAAGAACAGUAGAAAGAAUUGUGGCCCCAAAGGGGAUAAGAACUUGACAGGUUGUGCUGACAGAGAAGUCCAAGACAAUGAUGAGCCAGAGCCUCGUUUGGCCUCUCUAUUCACUGUAGCAUGACAGAGAGUGUUACGUGUUGAGACAGAGCAGGUCUCCGUCUCACAUCCUGUCCUGUGACCUAGUUGAGGCUGUGUCAAGCCUCCACUCUCAUGAAUUCUUUCUCAUAAGACCAAGAGCACAUGUAAGAUUGA